rnacentral:rRNA from 1 species
UUCACCCUGUGAACAUACCUAAACGUUGCUUCGGCGGGAACAGACGGCCCCGUGAAACGGGCCGCCCCCGCCAGAGGACCCCUAACUCUGUUUCUAUAAUGUUUCUUCUGAGUAAAACAAGCAAAUAAAUUAAAACUUUCAACAACGGAUCUCUUGGCUCUGGCAUCGAUGAAGAACGCAGCGAAAUGCGAUAAGUAAUGUGAAUUGCAGAAUUCAGUGAAUCAUCGAAUCUUUGAACGCACAUUGCGCCCGCCAGUAUUCUGGCGGGCAUGCCUGUUCGAGCGUCAUUACAACCCUCAGGCCCCCGGGCCUGGCGUUGGGGAUCGGCGGAGCCCCCCGUGGGCACACGCCGUCCCCCAAAUACAGUGGCGGUCCCGCCGCAGCUUCCAUCGCGUAGUAGCUAACACCUCGCGACUGGAGAGCGGCGCGGCCACGCCGUAAAACACCCAACUCUUCUGAAGUUGACCUCGAAUCAGGUAGGAAUACCCGCUGAACUUAAGCAUAUCAAUAAGGCGGAGGA